AAACGAAAAUUUAUUCAAGCAUGGGACAAAUUUGUGAUCGAACCCUAGCAAGGCAUCUGCGGAAGGCGUCCCUCUUUCUUUUCCGAAGAAGAACAGAAGAAGCAGAAGAAGGAGAAGCAGCAGCUUGGCAUAGAUGAUGAUAGUCAGGAGACCAGCCUCCUCACCGCUCCUCCGUACGGCUCUCUUCGACCGAAUCCGGCAUCUCCCUUUCUCUUCCGAGCCGGCCACGGAGACCCAGUCUCAGAAGCUCGAGCGCAUUGCCGACGAGCUCAUCAGCCUCACCAAGCUCGAGCGCUACGACUACACCAUCCUCUUCCGCCACAAACUAGGGUUCCAGAAAUACGGUCCUGUCGGCGCCGGCCUAUCAACUUCUCUCUCAUCUGCCAGCGCGGGCUCUGCGGCGUCGCCGGAGGCGAAGCCCGCCGACAAGACCGCCUUCGACAUCAAGCUCGAGAAGUUCGACGCAGCGGCGAAGAUCAAGAUCAUCAAGGAGGUGAGAUCAUUCACGGAUUUGGGGCUCAAGGAGGCCAAGGAUCUGGUGGAGAAGGCACCUGUCGUGCUUAAGAAGGGAGUGACGAAGGAGGAAGCGGAGCCGAUCGUUGCGAAGCUCAAGGAGUUGGGAGCCGCCGUCAUCCUAGAGUGAAGUUGAUUGGGCUUUUGAGUACCAUCGGGAAUUGGAUUGGGGUGCCCGAUUAUAGUGCCAGAGGCGUUUCAGAAGUAACCGGUAGCUACUUCGAUGAAUGUGGUGUUCACAGAUUCAACACUGUGGAGAAACGGCAAGGAAUUUUAAAACAACCACUAUCUAGCCUUGGUAAUAUGAAUAUUUCGUAUUCCUGAGGUGUUGUUGGGGGAUCCACUUCCCAGUACCACAAAGAAAGCCAAACCCUUAUGUUUUUUAAUACUUGUGAGGUGUUGUUGGAGGAUCAACUUCCUAGUACCACGAAGAAAGCAAACCCCUUCUGUUUUUCACCUCUUCCAGGAUGAUGUUCUGAUGUGCUCCUGUAUUUAUCCCUACACUUCCAGGGUGAAAGGAAAGGAAUCUUGAAAUAAGUAACUUUUAGGAUACCAUAAUGAAGGGCAUCCGUGAUGCUCUCAAAGAUUAAUUCCUUUAUUUUCAAUGUUCUCUCGAUUAACAGUUUAGGCCACCUGAGCCUGUUGGUAGACUUCAGCUUUUUCAGAAUAGUGUUUUGAUAUUUUCCUGUAACUUAUUCCUGCACUGCUUCUGAAAGAAAGAAGAAUCCCCAAAUGAAUUACCAUUGAUGGGA